UAAAGAAGGGCAAGAAUGUCAAAAUUUUUAGAAAAUAUGGGCUUUAUGUAUAAAAACGUGGGCGAUGAAUAACAAGUCCCUAAUAAUAACCCCUAAAAAAUAAUAACAAGUUACUGUAGCUUAUCUACAGUAAAUUUCCGUCUAUGCCCUUCGUGCGUGAAAUUACACUUCUGCCCUUGUGCUAUUUUCUAUCUCUUCCUGCUCUUUCUCCCACCUCUGCGUGUUUCCUAUUAAUCUAUUAGCAUCUUUCCCCGCGAUUUCCUCCACUCCACUCCACAUCUCUAAUUCUCCAUUCCUUCACUCUCUUCUCCCGUAAAAGUUCUCACCUUUUUCGCUCUCCUCCUUCGUCAUUUGGAAGCGCAUUUACGCCAUCUUUACUUAUUUUAUAUUAUGAUUUUUCUUGGUUUUGUUACAGACUUUGAGUAGAUGGCAAAAUCUAAAUUUGCUGCCAAAUCUUUGUUCCAUUGUUGGUCUAAGAUACGAGCCUACGAGUAGCAAGCUUUUAUUGUGUACAUUUCUGUGCUGGAACAACAAGGCAAGUAUGGUGAUGCUUUAGAGGUGCUAUCUGGAAAAUUAGAGGUUGACAGGCUUCGCUUGCAGUAAGAGUGCUCCUGCCGCCCUGCAAACAAUUCUUGGCGGAUAAUGGAGACCAAACUAUGAAUUGCAAAGAAUUCUGUGCUGGCAGGGUAGACUUCUUGAUCAGUCAGGUGACAAUGCUGCCGCAGCCAGUACAUUCCAGAAAAUCCUACAAAUGUGUAAAAUUGAUGAGGAGAGAGAAGCUGUGGAAGCAAGAGAGGGAAAAAGGUUGCUGAUUGACUUUAUUGUUGUCAAUAAUGUGUUCUCCAUUCAAAUCAAAGCCUCCAAGGAAAGUAUACAUUCUGGUUUUCUUGCCUAUCUUCCGCGCAAAAGUCCAAAACCUUCGUCUUCGUCAGCUUUAGAGGCAAUGCCGGUUGAGAAAAUUUGAAAAUCAAGAUGUUGGAGAGGGAAAUGGGAGAGCUUAAGUGGCAAAGAGACCUGGCACAGUCUCAACAUAACUAGAAAGAAGUGCACACAAGGAAAAGAAGGUAAAUUGUGUAUAUUGACACUUCAUUUCUAACGCUUUCCAGUAAAGUACUAUAUUACUAAUAUAUGGGGGGCAGAAAUCGGAUCAUCUAUAAUAUAUAAUACAGUUAAUGGUUGGCAAACAUAUUUAAUUUGUGUUACAAUUGAUUGUUGUUUGUAGCAGAAUCAUCUUGAUUUACAAUAAUUUAGUUUUCAGGGGCUAAUUGAAGAUAUAUAUGUUGCUAUAUGAUAGAGCAGGCUAUUUGGAAUUGCCUCUAGUAUAUGCCGCACAAGCAAGUAGUAUGCUUUGCUAAGAGCUGCAUUCUGUGUCAGGAAACAAUAUUACAGUUCUGAUCAUCGAAUAGUUAUAUUAGAGGCAAGAGGAAUGUAAUUACCUGGCUGUGUGAUUUAAGGCUUUGUUCUUUUCACCUGAAUGAUAAUCAAUUUAAACUUAAUUUAGUUGUGAAAUUGAUUUUCACUAGCCCUUGUGUGUACUUAGUGUUCCUGUAAAAGUGAAAAGAACAAAGACUAAGUCUAAAGCUAGCUAAAAGUGGAAUCUUGCUUUAGGUUGUUAGCCUUGAUUGGAACUGAUAUAACUGAUUUAAGACUUGAUUGAAGAGUCUGAAGACCAUGCCUAUUAGGUUCAGUAACUUAUUGUGAUGAUGAUAUAUCUGUUGAACCUUGGCUGAGGAAUUAUCGAUAUUUAUUGCUUUCUCUUUCUUGAGCUUUGUUUCUUUGCUCUAUCAAAACUUUAUUUAAUCUGGGAAACGAUAUUGGUGCAGGCUGCAAGGUGCAUCUUUGGUGGCUGUAGUUGUCAAUCAUUGUUGGCCUUCUCUCCCUAAAAGUCUAAUCAAAGAUUGUCUUUUAGAGUAGGUCUUGUUAAGUUAACUCUGUUUAUUUUAAACCAUAUGUCCAGUUUACUAUAUUAGUGGAUGAACCAAAAGUAAGUUUAACUGUCAAACUUGAGGAAAGCUGACUAUUGAUUAAAGCUUUGAAUUUUUCUCAAUAUUAGGUACUUCUCAGUGACAUGAUAGCUUGAAAAUUCAUUGUUUUUCUGCAGUUUGUUAAACGCCAACACCUUGAAUUCAAAGUAGAUUUUAUUUUCUUAAAUAAAUUAACUUUAUACGAUUUACUUUGAUUACAAUAUUUGUGUCAUUUGAUUACAAGUUUGCAAUUUUACUAUAUCUGAAAUAAUCACAUCUUUGACUUUUGAGAUACUUUCUAUGGGGUUUUGCAGCUCUGGGAUGAAAAAUCUAGCUGUGCUAGGUCAGUAGAAAAACUUCUUAGAUGGCUUAUUUGGUUAAGGUUUUAUUCGCGCCUCAUUCUUCAUCUUGGGAUAAAUUUAUUUCUGUUCAGAAUACAGGUGGUAUUCUCCAUUCAGGUAAGAUGCUUCAUUGAGAAUAUUAGAAGUAAUGCAGUGAGGCUGUAUUUGAGCAAUGAACGUAUAAUUGCCAUUUAUGGUCACUCAACUUCUGAGAAGAAAAUAAUUAGUUACUCUAAUGCAAAUGUUGUUUGGAGGAUUCCUUUUUACAGUGUGUUGCUAAUAUGAUUGGUCAAGAGAAUUGUAAAAUGAAGAUAUGUAAAAUUGUAAAUAAAAUAAAAAUAGCUAGAUUAAAAUCAAAGAAUAAAAGUAAAAGCCUGUAAUUUAUAAAUCCAAAUAUUUUGAAGUUAGAAGUCAAUGGCAGUGAAAAGUGAAAAUUGUCUGCCUGAGAAGGGUCUUUUGUUUGAUUCUAAGGAUCUUAGUGAAAAUUGAAAUUUGCUUAUUUGUUUGAUUCUAAGGAUUUAAAUGAAAAUUGAAUCUACUUAUUAACUUUCUUUCCUCUGCUGAAGCGGCUUUUGAGGUAAGAUGUUUUUUUUUUUGGGUACAGUUUAAGGCCAUUUAGUGCAUGAUUGAACCAACCCGUGGAGCUACAUGAUGUUGAUAAUAGGUUGUUGGUGGGAAUAACAGUGUGUCGAACUGUAGAAAGUAUGGUUCCUUAUUUUAUUCAUAACUACUAGGAGAAUCUUUAAAUUAGUUUCAUUUCCUUUUUCUUUGGUAAAAGGUGCUGACUUUGGCUAAGAGCUUGCUUGUUGGAAGGAGAAAUUGAGCAAUGAACUCAACACGCUCAGAGACAAAUGCAUAAGUCUCAAAAAGAAAUGCAUAAGUUUUGAAAAGAAUCUUGAUCAAAAUAAACAUCUUCUAGAAGAGUUGAAUUCAAGGUACUUUGAUCUUGAGAAAGAAUUCCUUGCUUUGUAGCUAGAUACGGUGACCAUGCUUGAUAAAGUAUUUAAAUGAAGUCAAAAUCUAAAGUUAGUAUCAGAAGAAAGAGUUGUUCUUGGAGAUACAAAAAAGAAAAAAAUCUCAAACAAGGGAUCAAACAAUUUAGUGUGCAUUUUCCUGUUACUUCAAGCUAUUUUAGCAUAAUUGUAGUGAUUAAUUUAAAGUUUUGAUGGUUUGUUUAAUCACAAUUGAGUUUUUUUACCAAUUGGUUGAUGUGGUGUUUUUUACCAAUUGGUUAAUAAAACUAUUUAAAAAUAUUGCUUUGCAUUCUUCAUUUGAUUGUUGUUUUAAUAAAGAUUGAUAGAUUAUAGUUGAGAAAAUCCUUUAGCUAAGUAAUUGUACAUAGUAGCUCAUAGAUUGCUUAAUGGGGGUAUAUGGAGGGGGACAAUUAAGAUGAGGUUUAAGUGUCCAAACGAAGAGGAGAAUGUUCAAAAUUUAGAUUUUUUUGUUUAAAACAUCCAUAAGUUUUGAAGAGGAGAGAGAAGUUAGCGAAGAGGGAAAACCAGGUAGAACCCAUAUAUUUUUUUUUAAUGUUAUAUUGAGGAACAAAAUAGAAAACUCUUAAAAGAUAUGUUUUGAAAUUUAUGGAACGGUGACCUAAGAGUGAGAGAUGAUAAAGGAGAAUAGUACGCAAGAAAGACAAGACUAAAUAGUAUAUAGGUUUAGGGUUAAAAAUAAAGAGUGAGAGCGGUAGUGAAGUGAGGAGAUUGAUUGAGUGAGAGGUAAUAACGGUAAUAGUGAGAGCGGUAAUAGGAGAUGGAUUUUGGUUAAUUGAUUAAGGAAAGAGAGGGAGGAGUGAGAUAGAGAUUGAGUUAGGGAAGAAAGGGGCAAGUACAACCUAGAAUAUAAAACAGGGAGCAAGUAGAAGAUUAAUUAGGAGAGAGAGAAUGAAGUGAGAGAAAAAGCUUGGGGUAGUAGAGGCUAGGAUGAGAUUAGUUAAAGGGGAGUAAGUGCAGCCUAUAAUCUUGAAAGGCAUAAAAAAUAGUGAGUAGGGAGACACGGCCAAGGAGAGAGAGGGAUAAAGGAAAAAAAUAAGGAUUUGGCAAUUAAGGAAGGAGAGAUCAUAAAGGAGGGAGAGGGAGAGGGAGAGGGAGGGCGGAGCAAGAAGGACUAGGCUUACUAAAACUAACAAAAUCAUAGAAGAAAAGUGAUAGGGAAAGAGGAAUAAGGAGCAGGAGAAUGGUGCAGUAAGUUCAAUCGAGCUACUGUAUUUGAUUAGAAAAAAGAGUAGAAAUGAUAGAGAGAGAGAGCGAGAAGUAGAGAGGAGGGAAAUGAGUUAUUAUUCCAAUAUCUGAUUUCGAAUUAUUACAUGUAUGUGUAUUUACAACUACAGUAAUAACUAAUUCAUUUUGUAACUGAAUUCUGUUACAAAAAGUAUAACAGAAUCAAUAUUCUGUUACAUUCCUUCCCCCUUAAAGAAACUGAACUCCCCUUCUUAAAAGUUCAUUAAUUCUGAACAAACCCUCGAAACCUUUCUUCAAACUGUAUAGCUGGUUCCCAAGUUGCAUCAGUUUCAGCAAAACCUGCCCAAUGCACCAAAUAUUGUACCACCGCACCAUUCUGUAAUUACGAGUAGCCUUACAUGAUUAUAUUGAACUUCAAUGGGUUUUGAUAUACAUAGUCAUGUGGUAUAAUAUUGAGCAUAAUUAUAAAGUGGAUACCUUCAGUUGAACCCUCUUUUUUGCUUAAAAUCAAUGCAAACAUAGCCUUACAUGAUUAUAUUGAACUUGAUAAUGCAAAGAUAAUGGAAAAUUUACCGUGCUUUUAUUCAACUCGUCAAAAAUAAUUUUUUGAAAGCUGAUUUUUCUUUCGAUUUUAGUUGUGUUGAUUCUUUAAAUUUUCUUGAAGGUUAGACAGUAUUGGUAUUGGAUGUUUUUUUGAGUUCUCCAUUGAAGCGACUUAUGAACUUUCUCUAUUUGAGCAAUUAAUUUGGUUUUUUAUUUAUUUAUUUAUAUUAAUUUGAACAUUGUGUUGUCAAAUAAUUGUGAGUUUUGUAGCUGUUGGAGGAUAUAGAAUGGCAUUUUAUUGGGCAUUUGCAGACUAAUAAAGUCAAAUCUCUGUUGAGUAAAUUCAUUCAUUUUGGAAAAUUGAGGACAUUAUAAGUAUAUUUUAGUUUAAUUUGAUGGUGCCUCUUAAUACCGAUGAAAAACUCAUAAAUGAGCUGUUUUAAUGAGGGGUUUUGUCCAAUGGACAAAAGGAAUAUGAAAUUGACAAAAUAGUCUUAAGUAAAGUACAUUAUUAUAGAAUAUUUUGAACUCAUCUUAGGAUUUGCUUUCUUAAUUAGGAAAUUUGUAAAUUUUGGGAGUAAAGGUUGAGUUUUUAUCAUCGAUACCCAAUUGUGUUUCUCAGUUUGUCGGUGCUGGAGAACAUUAGGAGAGUUUGUACCUAAAAUAAGCUUGAGCUUUAAGGUAAUGCCUUAUCCCUCUCGUAAAAUUUCGUGAUACGUUCCCGAAAGUCUGAUACUAGCAGCAUUGCAGUUCAUGUUAUGUUUAAAAAAUUAAAGCAUUAAUGGGAAGGAAAUAAAUCUUGCCAGAAAAUGUUACCGUACUAAUUAUUUCCUUGCAAGUGUGAUUAAAGCUUACUUGUAUGUGUCUAGAGAACAUUCAUUUUAGCAAGAGUAUUUCUCUUGCAAUUUAAUUUACGACUUUGCCACUCUUUGCAGUAAUUGAUAAAGGUGUGAGGAAGGUGUAACUCUUUUUCAUUGCUAACAUUGUUCACUUUUUGGAUUCCUGCGGCAUUUACUCCGUGGCUAAUCUCCUUACUCCCCAAGCACCAGUGCCUCAUCUUGACAUGGUUAUUUGAACUGGUAUAAUUUGCUUAUCUAUAAACUGUGAUCAGAAAGUAGCAGACAUAUUAUUUGAACUGGUUCUUUUCUGUUCAUCAAAAGUUUUUGUAAUAAGUUUUCUUUUCUGUUUGAUUUCCUUCAACUGACUAAAAACUAUGUAUUCUAUACAGCUUGCCAAUUAUCUUCAU